UGUUACGUUAUAUACAUAAGUAGAUGACUGUGUAAGGGAUGAUAUUCAUAUUAUAAGAAUAUGAAAAGUAUCGAAUACUUACUUACAAAAGCACAAAUACGUUAUGAGUACUUACUUAUUUCCGAUGAGUACGUAUUUAUAUAUACCAGCAAAAACGCAUAUGAUAUGAUUAUAAUAAAAGUACCUACCUAGGAAUCGAUCCAGCAUCGAUUAUUUUUUUCAUUCAAGCAUAGUUCGGAAGCAAGUAACAUUGCACUAGGUACAUCUCUAUGGCGCAUGCGCGCUGGACCGCAAGAGAGGCGCGCCGCCGGCGCGGCGCCAUAACCGCCAUAUUGAAUUUUCCGCCGAAAAGUUUGCCGCUAUUUUUUUAAAGUAUUUUUGUUAAGUCUUUACAAUACAAAACAAACAUCUAUUAUAAAUUAUUAUGUUUGUGUUUGCAAUAUGCAAUUGUAAAAUCGAUAAGGUGCUUGUGUUGACAACAACAAAGAAAAUGAACAAUCAAGCACACCCAUAAACUAAACAUGAAACGCUGGAUACAAGAUGUUAAUUCCUCUCUGGGA